GUUGAAACCGUUUUUCUGACUGAUAUUUAAGUCUGUGAGGAAAGGCUUUGCUGUGUUUCCUCUGCAGAGAAAGUGCCCAAGUAACAGAGAUGACUCAAAAUCAUGUACAUUAGCAGUCAGAUCAGACAAACCAAAGCCUCACGGUGUGCCCACGUUGGAACUCCUUCUCCUAGCAUUUUUCUGGGUCAGCCUGGAUUGAGACACACUGACCUUUAGAACUUGAAUAAAAUGCCGUUUCACUCAUUGCCAUCUUCGAUAGUCGGUAGAAGGUGAUUGCAGUUCCAAGUGGUGUCACCAUUUUAGAGAGUGCAUUGUGAAGGGCUAGAAGAGAAGAAUCGCAAUGUUCCCAAUACAAAGGAAAGAUAAAUGUUGGAGGUGAUGGAUAGUCCUAUUACCCUGCUUUGAUCAUUACACAUUAUAUACAGGAACUGAAGACACAUUUUGUAGAAGUUGAUGGAUUAAGAAAAAGAAGUUGCAUUUUAUUACCUAUCCUAAAGAUAGAAGGUGAUCUGAACAUUCUAAUAUCACUUGCCAAGACUGUUGGAGCAUGGGGAAGAGAGGUUCCUCCCAUGACUGACAGCUUAGAAGCCAGAGGUUAAGGGAGCCUAUCGAUCAAUGCACUCCACGCAAACAUGUCCCAGGAGCAGGAUAGAACAAGGUGUAAAAGGGUGGGACUCUAUCUAGAGGGGCAAAAUGAAGAUAUCGAACACAUUGACAUGAAUAAAAUAUGUACAAUGUCAUUAUAAUGUGUCAAAUUUGCACAGAAAAAUAAUCAUAAAAUAUUCAAUGUCAUAGUCAACUACUAGUGGUGUUUUAUGCCAGCUGCACUUUAACUAGCUAGUUAACUGGAGGAUUUGAGUGAAAAUACUUCUUUUUUUUUUUUUUUAAAGAGAGAGAGAGGUUCAGGAAACAUCUGAAGGGGAAUGGGCAAGUGAUGCCUGAACGGUACUGGCAGAAGAUAAAUGGUAUGUUAUUUUAAGCCAGUAGAAAGCUUAAUCCCAUGAGGGAAACUCUGGGAAAUGUACACCAUAUGAGUCAGAAUUACUCCAAGAAUGAGGGAGCUAGGACACUUAGCUUCCUGAACCAUUGGGUGUGAUCUGCCCCUGUAGGCAAAGGGCCUUCCUAGGAUCUAGAAAAAAAGACUCCAGGCAGCUAGAUGUAGAUACUGGCCAUUGGAUGUUUGUCAAAGCAAAAGAAAGAUCUGAAGGGUAAGGGAAGGACAUUGUUGGUGUCUAUACUUUUGGCCAAUAUGCCACAAGUACAAAUGCACCAGUUACAGUGUUAAGCAUGACUGCUUGAAUUUACAACCAGCUUUUGAGGAUAUGGAGAUGGAAGGUGUUCUUAAAAGUCCCAUCUUAUUGUCGUGACAGCAAAGAUCAUUAUAUAAGUCUGUUAUUAUUUCAGGCAAUUAAAAAACUGCUUGUAAUUAUUUAAGUCACACUUCUUUUUAAUAUUUUUGACAGUCUGUAAUUUUAGAAUAACACUCUCAAAUACAUCAUUUGCCAUAUUUUAACACAUUGGAGUUACAUAAUCUGUGUAUCAGUGUACCAGAGUGAAUUUGGUUUUGUGAAGACCUCAGAAGAAAAGCUUACCUGCAAUCUCCAUGUCUAAACUUGAAUAGAUUAAAAUGUUCCCUUGAUUAGGAAAUGUGUAGCUCUGCUGUGUUUAUAUUUGUUUGUUUUAAAUCCAGGCUGAUGAAUGCCUACUUGUGUAAAACUGUACAACUAAGUGCACUUCUGUAUUAGGACUUCUCUGUGCUCAGCUCAAUCCCAGAUAGGGCUGAGGAGCAUGCCUGAGACUCAUGCCAUCACCCUCAUGAGACAGCACAUAAAUGUAUAAUGUGUUUCAUCAUGUCUCAUAAGACUAAAGUUUGUUUAACACUGAUUUUUUUACAUGCUUAAAUGUUCGUGUUUGGACUUUUAAGUUAUGAUAGUGAGUUUUGAUUAUUUUUCCUAUUGUUGAAUUUUAAGAAUGUGUUUUUCCAGAUGAGUUGAAAAUCUUACCAUUGUUUAAUUACUCAACUAAUAUUUGUUGAGUGCAUACUAUGUGGAGGAAACUGGUCUAGUGCUUGGGAUUCCUCACUGAACAAAAGUGAUAAACAUCCCUGACCUGCUGCUUACAUUUAAGCAAGGAGGGUGAGUCAAUAAAUCAUGAAUACAUAUAAUACAUUAGAAGGAAAUAUAUGCUGUAGAAAAGUGAUGACAUAAAGCAGAAAAUAUUGGAAAUGCUAGCAUCAGGGAGCAGGGUGUAGUAUUAAAAGGUCAGAGUGGGUCUCAUUGCAAAGGGUAGAUUUGAGCAAAGGCAUCAGAGGUAUAAAGAAAUUAGGCAUAUGAACAUAGGAGGAAAAAACAUUUUAGGCAGAUGUAAUAAAUAAUUUCAAAACUGAAAGGCUUGUAUCUUUAAAAAGUGUUUAUCUUCUGGUCAAAAGGCUCAUUGUAGUUGUUUUGUUGAGGGGAACUGUGGGAAAGUGUGGCUGGAACCAGGGAAAUCAGUUAAGAAGUAGUUCUAUUCAUCCAAUAAAGAGAUACUGAGAACUUGAGUUAAUUUAAAAUGAAUACUGUUUGCUAGGGAAAAAAAGAAAUUCUAAAGAAAAAUUUGCCCGUGGGCCAAUUAAGUUGAUCAGGCUUAAUAUGAAAUAAGCAUAAUGGCAUCAGUUCAUUUUCAGCUCACGGUGACCAGUUUCAUUGGGGUUUCUAAAAUGGCAAGAGAGAUUCAAAUGCCUCAGCUGGCUUCCAAGUCAAGAAAGUGUAAUGGUGGCUGUUUCUCAUUAUGGUUCUCUUUUUAAGGUGACAAAAGUCACCUAAUUAGUUUGACUUAAAUAAAGGAUUUUACAAACUGAC